rnacentral:rRNA from 1 species
CAAUAGCGUAUAUUAAAGUUGUUGCAGUUAAAAAGCUCGUAGUUGGAUUUCGGGGCAGCCUGGCUGGUCCGCCGCAAGGCGAGUACUGGUCAGCCGCCCUUCCUCUCGAAAGCCCCGACUGCUCUUCGUUGCAGUGGUCGGGUAGUUCGGGACGUUUACUUUGAAAAAAUUAGAGUGUUCAAGGCAGGCCUACGCCUGAAUACAUUAGCGUGGAAUAAUGGAAGAGGACCUCGGUCCUAUUUUGUUGGUUUCCAGGGCCGAAGUAAUGAUUAAGAGGGACAGUUGGGGGCAUUCGUAUUUAAUUGUCAGAGGUGAAAUUCUCGGAUUUAUGAAAGACGAACAACUGCGAAAGCAUUUGCCAAGGAUGUUUUCAUUAA